rnacentral:rRNA from 1 species
CCUCCCUGUCUUGCCUUCCUGCAACUGCCCAUCGCUACUCUUGCGUGGGCCCAGAAGCUAAGCAGGUCAGGCCUGGUUAGUCCUUGGAUGGGAAGCCGCCAGGAAAUCCCAGGACUGUGAGUU